AACGAAAUACAGUCUCUGUAUGGAUCUGAUAUCAGGAACCCAGGUCCUGUGUGUGCUUUACAGUAUGGAGCAGGACUAUAUAAGAGUCCCUCUGAGUUGUCUGUUGACUCAGUGGCAAGCACGUUCCUGCCAAGCACAUCUCCUAACUCCACGCGCUCUUCAUCUACCACACGCAUAGGUGUUGCUCGGGGUCAGCCCCUGUGGCUGCUUCCUCCAUGGGCUCUUUCUGUAAUCUACCUGCUGGUAGCUCUGCUACUACUAGCCUGUCUGCUGGUUGUGGGGCUUUAUGGCAGGUUUUUCUCCAAGAAAAUAGUACUUAUGUGGCUAGCGUCAGCACUCUCUGCCUUUCUCACCUCUGCUCUGUUGCUGGAGCCUCUCAAAGUGAGUUCAAACAUGUGGUCCAAUUAUCCCACUGCUCAGAUCCUCUCUGGAUAAGUCCUUUAAUUGCAUCCCUGCCUUGAUCUCUCAGGUUUGCACUCAAGCUUUAAUCUACACCGUCAUAUGGAGGCCGGUGGAUCCGGAGGUGGAGGAGCAGCUGUUCCGUGAGACCACUGUGGUCAGAGGGUUUGAAGAUCAAAGCGGAAAGGUUCGCCCGCUGUGUGGUUAUGGGUUACUUCAGGCCAAAGAGGAAGCUCGCAAGGUUCGAGCUCUGCGGUCACUGAUGAGGCACUGUGUCUGCCAGCUGGUUUUCCUGCUGCUGGUGCUGAUGGUGAAUUACCAGGACAGAGUGGAGCAGAGGCAGGCCAUGCUGCUGCACUCUGCUAUCAAACAGCAGCUUCACACUGCACCCCCGGGGUCUCCCAAUCUCACCUCGCUCAAAAACUGGUCAGAUACAGAACAGUGGCUCAGGCACACUUUGUUGCCACAUCUCUAUCAGAACCCCAGCUUGCGUCUUUUGGGAUCACCACAGUGCACGCUGCCUCACAGCAGCCUGAGUGUUGAGCUGCGUGGAAACUACAGCAGAGCAACCCAACAGCUCAUCACAAAGCUGCACAAAGCAGCAGAAGCAGAGGAAACACAUCAAUUCAAAAGUGUGAUUAUAAAAUACACACUGUACCACAGAGAGUCGGGCCUCUUCAUUUGUGUAUCAGUACAACUAGUAAAGACUCAACCAUACGUCACUCCUGCUCUCAGCGUCCAUCCAUUCCUCAUCCCUUCACCC
rnacentral:lncRNA from 1 species